UUCUUUUAAAAAUAGUCGUAUCGAUACUCGUACCCCACUAUCACUAGUGUCGGGAAUCGGGCUGCGACAGGGUGGUAUCAGAGCAGGUCAUCUGCUAUGAGUCUAUUGCUUGAUUGAGUUGAACCUUUAAUUACUGAUAUCUUUUUAAAUUGAGUACUAGUCUAACUUGAAUUCUUAGGCUAGUUUGAGAGAGUUAGUUUGAAACGAAACCCCAACACCC
rnacentral:lncRNA from 1 species